rnacentral:rRNA from 1 species
ACGAACGCUGGCGGCGUGCUUAACACCUGCAAGUCGAACGGAAAGGCCCUGCUUUUGUGGGGUGCUCGAGUGGCGAACGGGUGAGUAACACGUGAGUAACCUGCCCUUGACUUUGGGAUAACUUCAGGAAACUGGGGCUAAUACCGGAUAGGAGCUCCUGCUGCAUGGUGGGGGUUGGAAAGUUUCGGCGGUUGGGGAUGGACUCGCGGCUUAUCAGCUUGUUGGUGGGGUAGUGGCUUACCAAGGCUUUGACGGGUAGCCGGCCUGAGAGGGUGACCGGCCACAUUGGGACUGAGAUACGGCCCAGACUCCUACGGGAGGCAGCAGUGGGGAAUAUUGCACAAUGGGCGGGAGCCUGAUGCAGCAACGCCGCGUGCGGGAUGACGGCCUUCGGGUUGUAAACCGCUUUCGCCUGUGACGAAGCGUGAGUGACGGUAAUGGGUAAAGAAGCACCGGCUAACUACGUG